rnacentral:ncRNA from 1 species
UUGAGCCGUGUGCGAUGAAAGUUGCAUGCACGGUUCUGAGAGGGGGAAAAUCCGUGAGGAUCUACCUAUCUCAAC